AUUGGGUUAGUUAUAUAUAGAUCUUUAUAAUACAUUCAUUCGUCUAUGACGUUGAAAUGAUUAUUACCUUCUCAUCAGAUCAAUCAGGCAAUUUGUCCACUGUAAAAAAAAUAAGGCAAGACAUUCUCCCCUUCAUUUUAGACUUGCAUGUAACAUUUUUGCAAAAGCACUUAACUAAGCUAGCUUCAGUAGCAAGUCAGCUUGACAACAGAAAAACAGCUAGCUAACGUUAGCAUUAUUAGCCAUAGUAGCUAGUUAACGUUACUACAAAGCUUGGGUUUCCAAAUUGUAUUAGGCUAACGUUAUAUAAAAGAGAUCUUACCCUGUUUAGUAAAUAGAUAUAUAUUUAAUUUGUGUUUCGUCAAUGUUUAAUAACACUAAGUCUUGUCAUUUUUCCUGCUGGUUGCUCAUGUCGCGUUCAAAUCAACUGGAAACUCGGAAUUCUCCGACUUCCUGGGAACUCGGAGGGAAAAAAUCGAUUUGAAUGGUCAUGCAUUUCGGGAAGUCAGGUCUCUCCCUAGAGCUCAGACUUUCCGAACUAAAGAUCACUGACGCCAUGAUUUAACAUCGUGUUUUUUUUCGACUUCCCAGUUGUUUUAAACGCAGCAUCAUUUCACUUCCUUUGUAUAUUUUGAACUCUGAACGGAACCUUGAGAAAAUUUGGACGACGUUGAUUGGAUGGUCAAGCCCAAUGACGUGUUCAAACGUGUAGUCCUAAACAAGAAACGAGUUUGAAAAAAAGUUGUUGUAUCAACAACUUCCGGUACAUUCAGUGAGCGAUGUCUUAGAAACAUAAACAUAAUUACUAAAUUCGGUAAAAUGGACAACCGUUGUUAUUGUUGUUCAUCAAAGUUCACUCUCUUCAGGAAGCUCACGGAAUAAGCUGCAUUGGAUGAGGCCAGUGGCUACAACAUACCUCCUGAGCACAGUGGUGCAAAAAACACCGAAAUGACAGCUUCCCACAAGAAACAGACACCAGUUCUAUCGUGUUCAUCAUCGAGGACCCCAGCAGCUGCCCUGGCCAGUCAGGCUUUAGACAGUGAUGAGGAUGAGCUUCCCUGGUGCUGCAUCUGUAAUCAGGAGACCUCCAUCCGCUGUCACACCUGUGAUGGGGAUCUUUUACUGCAACCGCUGCUUCAGGGAGUGCCAUGAUAUGUAUGACAGGAAAGAGCACCACACAGCUACAGUAGUUACACGGCACCUAAGAAAAACAAGAGGACGACGACGUGAGACUGCAGGGGCUGGCAUCAGUGUUUCUUGGAGUCACUCUAAAAGAUGUGUACUAUACCUUUUAAGAGGCUGGACAGUAUUCUUGGAAUUCUGCAGGAUCACAAAGAGAAGGCUUAUCCAAACACUACUACCUCUCUUUAGGGUUGAAAAAUUCCAGUAACUUUCCCAAAGUGCCCUGGUUUUCCAGAAAUCCUGGUUGGGAGAUUGCUGGAAUUAUGAGGGAAUAAGCAGGGGUGUAAAGUCCUUAAGUAAAAAAAAUAGUUUAAAAGUACUACUUAAGUAGUUUUUUGGGGUAUCUGUACUGUACUUUACUAUUUAUAUUUUUGACAACUUUUACUUCACUACAUUCCUAAAGAAAAUAAUGUACUUUUUACUCCAUACAUUCUCCCUGACACCGAAAAGUACUUUUUAUUUUACUGGAUGACAUUCACUUGUACUUGAGACAUUUUCUAUUAAAGUAUCUUUACUAGGGAUGCACUGAUAUGA